AAAUGGAGAAAUGCCUUGACAAAAGCAAGGGAGAACAUUCGAAGCGGUCAAAAUCUAUCCGAUGCGAUCAUACAAGCACAAAUGUGGUUCGGUGCCAUGGGGCAAGGCAAAAAAAGUUUUGUGCAUUUCCAAUGUUGGGAAGUUGUGAAGGAUUGUUCGAGAUUCAAAAUUAUUCUCACCGGUCCGCCGGUUGUGUUGAAUGA